rnacentral:lncRNA from 1 species
CCCAUGCCUGUCCCAGGGCCUCCGCUCAGGUGCAGCAGUGACACCAUCUCACCUGCCUCCAGAACCACGAGCCAAAUCAGCCUCCACUGCUUCUAAAUCACCCAGAUUGUGUUUUGAUAGAGCAGCCAGAAGUGCACUAGGACAGUGCACCUACAUUUAAUUCCUCAAUUAUUUUUCUAAGAGCAUUUCUAAGAGCUAGUAGGAAGAGUUCUGCAUGCAUAUUUGAAUCACUGACUUU